GUUGUAUGGUUAAGUGACUAAGCGUACACGGUGGAUGCCUUGGCAGUCAGAGGCGAUGAAAGACGUAGUAACUUGCGAUAAGCCCAGAUUAGGUAGUAACAACCAUUUGAGUCUGGGAUUUCUGAAUGGGGAAACCCACGUGCAUAAGCACGUAUCCUUACCUGAAUACAUAGGGUAAGGAGGCGAACCGGGGGAACUGAAACAUCUAAGUACCCCGAGGAAAAGAAAUCAACCGAGAUUCCGAAAGUAGCGGCGAGCGAAAUUGGACUAGCCCUUAAGCUUUACACGCGUUAGACGAACGGUCUGGAAAGUCCGACGAUACAGGGUGAUAGUCCCGUAGUUGACGACGUGUGUUCAGUGAAAUCGAGUAGGGCGGGACACGUGAUAUCCUGUCUGAAUAUGGGGGGACCAUCCUCCAAGGCUAAAUACUACUGACUGACCGAUAGUGAACCAGUACCGUGAGGGAAAGGCGAAAAGAACCCCUGUGAGGGGAGUGAAAUAGAACCUGAAACCGUGUACGUACAAGCAGUAGGAGCACCUUCGUGGUGUGACUGCGUACCUUUUGUAUAAUGGGUCAGCGACUUAUAUUCAGUGGCAAGGUUAACCAUCUAGGGGAGCCGUAGGGAAACCGAGUCUUAACUGGGCGUUCAGUCUCUGGAUAUAGACCCGAAACCAGGUGAUCUAGCCAUGGGCAGGUUGAAGGUUGAGUAACAUCAACUGGAGGACCGAACCGACUAAUGUUGAAAAAUUAGCGGAUGACUUGUGGCUAGGGGUGAAAGGCCAAUCAAACCUGGAGAUAGCUGGUUCUCCCCGAAAGCUAUUUAGGUAGCGCCUCGGACGAAUACUACUGGGGGUAGAGCACUGUUAAGGCUAGGGGGUCAUCCCGACUUACCAACCCUUUGCAAACUCCGAAUACCAGUAAGUACUAUCCGGGAGACACACGGCGGGUGCUAACGUCCGUCGUGGAGAGGGAAACAACCCAGACCGCCAGCUAAGGUCCCAAAUUACUACUAAGUGGGAAACGAUGUGGGAAGGCUCAGACAGCCAGGAUGUUGGCUUAGAAGCAGCCAUCAUUUAAAGAAAGCGUAAUAGCUCACUGGUCGAGUCGGCCUGCGCGGAAGAUGUAACGGGGCUAAGUAGUAAACCGAAGCUGCGGCAAUAUACUUUUGUAUAUUGGGUAGGGGAGCGUUCUGUAAGCGGUUGAAGGUGUGUGGUAACGCAUGCUGGACGUAUCAGAAGUGCGAAUGCUGACAUGAGUAACGAUAAAGGGGGUGAAAAACCUCCUCGCCGGAAGACCAAGGGUUCCUGUCCAACGUUAAUCGGGGCAGGGUAAGUCGACCCCUAAGGCGAGGCCGAAAGGCGUAGUCGAUGGGAAACGGGUUAAUAUUCCCGUACUUCUUACAAUUGCGAUGGGGGGACGGAGAAGGCUAGGUGGGCCUGGCGACGGUUGUCCAGGUUCAAGUGCGUAGGCUUAAGAGUUAGGUAAAUCCGGCUCUUUCUAAGGCUGAGACACGACGUCGAGCACCUACGGGUGUGAAGUCAUUGAUGCCAUGCUUCCAGGAAAAGCCUCUAAGCUUCAGAUUGUAAGGAAUCGUACCCCAAACCGACACAGGUGGUCGGGUAGAGAAUACCAAGGCGCUUGAGAGAACUCGGGUGAAGGAACUAGGCAAAAUGGUACCGUAACUUCGGGAGAAGGUACGCUCUCGACGGUGAAGUCCCUCGCGGAUGGAGCUAUUGAGAGUCGCAGAUACCAGGUGGCUGCAACUGUUUAUUAAAAACACAGCACUGUGCAAAAUCGUAAGAUGACGUAUACGGUGUGACGCCUGCCCGGUGCCGGAAGGUUAAUUGAUGGGGUUAGACUUCGGUCGAAGCUCUUGAUCGAAGCCCCGGUAAACGGCGGCCGUAACUAUAACGGUCCUAAGGUAGCGAAAUUCCUUGUCGGGUAAGUUCCGACCUGCACGAAUGGCGUAAUGAUGGCCACGCUGUCUCCACCCGAGACUCAGUGAAAUUGAAAUCGCUGUGAAGAUGCAGUGUACCCGCGGCUAGACGGAAAGACCCCGUGAACCUUUACUACAGCUUGGCACUGAACAUUGACCCUACAUGUGUAGGAUAGGUGGGAGGCUUUGAAGCACGUACGCCAGUAUGUGUGGAGCCGUCCUUGAAAUACCACCCUUGUAGUGUUGAUGUUCUAACGUCGACCCCU
rnacentral:rRNA from 1 species